rnacentral:rRNA from 1 species
UUAUCUCUGUAGAGUCUGCAUAUCAAUAAGCGGAGGAAAAGAAAACUAACUAGGAUUCCCUUAGUAACGGCGAGUGAAGCGGGAAGAGCUCAAAUUUGAAAUCUUCAAGGUUUUACCUUGACGAAUUGUAGUUUAAAGAAGUGUUUUCUGUUGGUGUUUUGGUAAAAGUUCUUUGGAAUAGGACAUCAUAGAGGGUGAGAAUCCCGUAUUUGACCAUUACUUCCAGCGUUGUGAUACACUUUCAAAGAGUCGGAUUGUUUGGGAAUGCAGUCCAAAAUGGGUGGUAAAUUUCAUCUAAAGCUAAAUAUUGGCGAGAGACCGAUAGCGAACAAGUACUGUGAGGGAAAGAUGAAAAGAACUUUGAAAAGAGAGUUAAACAGUACGUGAAAUUGUCAAAAGGGAAGCGUUUGACACCAGUGUUGUUUUUCUCGAAAAUCAAUUAAAAAAAGUUGGAUUUUGUAUUGUUAAGACCUUAUCAGCUUACUGUACUCUUUUCUUGCUUUUUUUAAUGCACUUUUCGUUUAACAAGUCAACAUCAAUUUCUUUUGUUGUAAAAGAGUCAUUGGAAGGUGGCUUUCACUUCGGUGAAAGUGUUUAUAGCCUUUGGCUUCUGCAAUCGGAGAGAUUGAGGUCUACAGCGUAGAUCCUUCGGGGCUAGAUACGUAGAUGCUAAGUUAUAGUUUUUUUAUAGACAACUUGUUGACUAUAAUUAAUCAUGUAGCUUACUCGUUUGCGCUAUUUUACCUACGCUUAGGAUGUUGAUAGUCACAGCGUGUAC